UACGUAGGGGGCUAGCGUUGUCCGGAUUUAUUGGGCGUAAAGGGUGCGUAGGUGGCGCUGUAAGUCGGGUGUGAAAUUUCGGAGCUUAACUCCGAAACUGCAUUCGAUACUGCGGUGCUUGAGGACUGGAGAGGAGACUGGAAUUCAUGGUGUAGCAGUGAAAUGCGUAGAGAUCAUGAGGAAGACCAGUGGCGAAGGCGGGUCUCUGGACAGUUCCUGACACUGAGGCACGAAGGCCAGGGGAGCAAACGGG
rnacentral:rRNA from 1 species